rnacentral:rRNA from 1 species
UUAAGCGACUAAGCGUACACGGUGGAUGCCCUGGCAGUCAGAGGCGAUGAAGGACGUGCUAAUCUGCGAUAAGCGUCGGUAAGGUGAUAUGAACCGUUAUAACCGGCGAUUUCCGAAUGGGGAAACCCAGUGUGUUUCGACACACUAUCAUUAACUGAAUCCAUAGGUUAAUGAGGCGAACCGGGGGAACUGAAACAUCUAAGUACCCCGAGGAAAAGAAAUCAACCGAGAUUCCCCCAGUAGCGGCGAGCGAACGGGGAGGAGCCCAGAGCCUGAAUCAGUGUGUGUGUUAGUGGAAGCGUCUGGAAAGGCGCGCGAUACAGGGUGACAGNNNNNNNNNNNNNNNNNNNNNNNNNNNNNNNNNNNNNNNNNNNNNNNNNNNNNNNNNNNNNNNNNNNNNNNNNNNNNNNNNNNNNNNNNNNNNNNNNNNNNNNNNNNNNNNNUUUAUGGGGUGACUGCGUACCUUUUGUAUAAUGGGUCAGCGACUUAUAUUCUGUAGCAAGGUUAACCGAAUAGGGGAGCCGAAGGGAAACCGAGUCUUAACUGGGCGUUAAGUUGCAGGGUAUAGACCCGAAACCCGGUGAUCUAGCCAUGGGCAGGUUGAAGGUUGGGUAACACUAACUGGAGGACCGAACCGACUAAUGUUGAAAAAUUAGCGGAUGACUUGUGGCUGGGGGUGAAAGGCCAAUCAAACCGGGAGAUAGCUGGUUCUCCCCGAAAGCUAUUUAGGUAGCGCCUCGUGAAUUCAUCUCCGGGGGUAGAGCACUGUUUCGGCAAGGGGGUCAUCCCGACUUACCAACCCGAUGCAAACUGCGAAUACCGGAGAAUGUUAUCACGGGAGACACACGGCGGGUGCUAACGUCCGUCGUGAAGAGGGAAACAACCCAGACCGCCAGCUAAGGUCCCAAAGUCAUGGUUAAGUGGGAAACGAUGUGGGAAGGCCCAGACAGCCAGGAUGUUGGCUUAGAAGCAGCCAUCAUUUAAAGAAAGCGUAAUAGCUCACUGGUCGAGUCGGCCUGCGCGGAAGAUGUAACGGGGCUAAACCAUGCACCGAAGCUGCGGCAGCGACGCUUAUGCGUUGUUGGGUAGGGGAGCGUUCUGUAAGCCUGUGAAGGUGUACUGUGAGGUAUGCUGGAGGUAUCAGAAGUGCGAAUGCUGACAUAAGUAACGAUAAAGCGGGUGAAAAGCCCGCUCGCCGGAAGACCAAGGGUUCCUGUCCAACGUUAAUCGGGGCAGGGUGAGUCGACCCCUAAGGCGAGGCCGAAAGGCGUAGUCGAUGGGAAACAGGUUAAUAUUCCUGUACUUGGUGUUACUGCGAAGGGGGGACGGAGAAGGCUAUGUUGGCCGGGCGACGGUUGUCCCGGUUUAAGCGUGUAGGCUGGUUUUCCAGGCAAAUCCGGAAAAUCAAGGCUGAGGCGUGAUGACGAGGCACUACGGUGCUGAAGCAACAAAUGCCCUGCUUCCAGGAAAAGCCUCUAAGCAUCAGGUAACAUCAAAUCGUACCCCAAACCGACACAGGUGGUCAGGUAGAGAAUACCAAGGCGCUUGAGAGAACUCGGGUGAAGGAACUAGGCAAAAUGGUGCCGUAACUUCGGGAGAAGGCACGCUGAUAUGUAGGUGAAGCGACUUGCUCGUGGAGCUGAAAUCAGUCGAAGAUACCAGCUGGCUGCAACUGUUUAUUAAAAACACAGCACUGUGCAAACACGAAAGUGGACGUAUACGGUGUGACGCCUGCCCGGUGCCGGAAGGUUAAUUGAUGGGGUUAGCGGUAACGCGAAGCUCUUGAUCGAAGCCCCGGUAAACGGCGGCCGUAACUAUAACGGUCCUAAGGUAGCGAAAUUCCUUGUCGGGUAAGUUCCGACCUGCACGAAUGGCGUAAUGAUGGCCAGGCUGUCUCCACCCGAGACUCAGUGAAAUUGAACUCGCUGUGAAGAUGCAGUGUACCCGCGGCAAGACGGAAAGACCCCGUGAACCUUUACUAUAGCUUGACACUGAACAUUGAGCCUUGAUGUGUAGGAUAGGUGGGAGGCUUUGAAGUGUGGACGCCAGUCUGCAUGGAGCCGNCCUUGAAAUACCACCCUUUAAUGUUUGAUGUUCUAACGUUGGCCCCUGAUCGGGGUUGCGGACAGUGUCUGGUGGGUAGUUUGACUGGGGCGGUCUCCUCCUAAAGAGUAACGGAGGAGCACGAAGGUUGGCUAAUCCUGGUCGGACAUCAGGAGGUUAGUGCAAUGGCAUAAGCCAGCUUGACUGCGAGCGUGACGGCGCGAGCAGGUGCGAAAGCAGGUCAUAGUGAUCCGGUGGUUCUGAAUGGAAGGGCCAUCGCUCAACGGAUAAAAGGUACUCCGGGGAUAACAGGCUGAUACCGCCCAAGAGUUCAUAUCGACGGCGGUGUUUGGCACCUCGAUGUCGGCUCAUCACAUCCUGGGGCUGAAGUAGGUCCCAAGGGUAUGGCUGUUCGCCAUUUAAAGUGGUACGCGAGCUGGGUUUAGAACGUCGUGAGACAGUUCGGUCCCUAUCUGCCGUGGGCGCUGGAGAACUGAGGGGGGCUGCUCCUAGUACGAGAGGACCGGAGUGGACGCAUCACUGGUGUUCGGGUUGUCAUGCCAAUGGCACUGCCCGGUAGCUAAAUGCGGAAGAGAUAAGUGCUGAAAGCAUCUAAGCACGAAACUUGCCCCGAGAUGAGUUCUCCCUGAGACUUUAAGUCUCCUGAAGGAACGUUGAAGACGACGACGUUGAUAGGCCGGGUGUGUAAGCGCAGCGAUGCGUUGAGCUAACCGGUACUAAUGAACCGUGAGGCUUAACCUU